UGAGCAGCCCAUGCGGUCGCGGGCUCUGCCGGAAGGCAGGGCGUGAGGAAAGUCCGGGCUCCGCAGGGCAAGGAUGACAGCUAACGGCUGCCGGGGGUGACCCCAGGGAAAGUGCAACAGAAAACAACCGCCCGCAAGGGCAAGGGUGAAAAGGCGAGGUAAGAGCUCACCGGGAU
rnacentral:RNase_P_RNA from 1 species